UUUUAUUUGAGAGUUUGAUCCUGGCUCAGGAUGAACGCUGGCGGCGUGCCUAACACAUGCAAGUUGAGCGAUUUACUUCGGUAAAGAGCGGCGGACGGGUGAGUAACGCGUGGGUAACCUACCCUGUACACACGGAUAACAUACCGAAAGGUAUGCUAAUACGGGAUAAUAUAUUUGAGAGGCAUCUCUUAAAUAUCAAAGGUGAGCCAGUACAGGAUGGACCCGCGUCUGAUUAGCUAGUUGGUAAGGUAACGGCUUACCAAGGCGACGAUCAGUAGCCGACCUGAGAGGGUGAUCGGCCACAUUGGAACUGAGACACGGUCCAAACUCCUACGGGAGGCAGCAGUGGGGAAUAUUGCACAAUGGGCGAAAGCCUGAUGCAGCAACGCCGCGUGAGUGAUGAAGGCCUUCGGGUCGAAAAACUCUGUCCUCAAGGAAGAUAAUGGCGGUACUUGAGGAGGAAGCCCCGGCUAACUACGUGCCAGCA
rnacentral:rRNA from 1 species